AAACCAACCGGGAUUGCCUUAGUAACGGCGAGUGAAGCGGCAAAAGCUCAAAUUUGAAAUCUGGUACCUUCGGUGCCCGAGUUGUAAUUUGGAGAGGGCAACUUUGGGGCCGUUCCUUGUCUAUGUUCCUUGGAACAGGACGUCAUAGAGGGUGAGAAUCCCGUGUGGCGAGGAGUGCGGUUCUUUGUAAAGUGCCUUCGAAGAGUCGAGUUGUUUGGGAAUGCAGCUCUAAGUGGGUGGUAAAUUCCAUCUAAAGCUAAAUAUUGGCGAGAGACCGAUAGCGAACAAGUACAGUGAUGGAAAGAUGAAAAGAACUUUGAAAAGAGAGUGAAAAAGUACGUGAAAUUGUUGAAAGGGAAGGGCAUUUGAUCAGACAUGGUGUUUUGUGCCCUCUGCUCCUUGUGGGUAGGGGAAUCUCGCAUUUCACUGGGCCAGCAUCAGUUUUGGUGGCAGGAUAAAUCCAUAGGAAUGUAGCUUGCCUCGGUAAGUAUUAUAGCCUGUGGGAAUACUGCCAGCUGGGACUGAGGACUGCGACGUAAGUCAAGGAUGCUGGCAUAAUGGUUAUAUGCCGCCCGUCUU
rnacentral:rRNA from 1 species